AGUCCCUGCUUCCCUCUUGCAUUCCCGGGGUCUCCCAGCGAACUACUCCGGGUAACCUCUGCGUGGAGUUUGUUGGGAGUGGGACGCUUGAGAAUCUUGGCGCAGCGACGGGCGUAGGUGGUCAUGUUUUCUUGUGUAGCUACAGCUCGUAGACAUAUAUAAAGUAAAGGCCAGUGUCACUUAAUAGGUUCUUUGUAAAACUUGAAAGUCUCCUGGAGUGCUCACUUUAGUGGGCCGGCCAUGACAAGAGAAAUAUUACUGCUGCAUCCCAGUUUCUUUAAGCAGGAAAAAUUGGCGUUAGAGCAGGAGUUCGAAAUGGAAAAGCUGGCCAAGCUACUCGGGUUGGAAUGAUGUAAUCGUCCUUCCGGGGCGAGAAAAGGAAGGCUGAGGAGCACCUGGGCGCAGAGAGAAUCUCCCCGCGAAUGGAAGGUUCGCUGCUGUGCUCUGCGCGUAGAACCUGCUCCAGGCCUUUGCGGUCCUUGGGAAUCCUGGAGACGCCAAGAACUCUAUGCACAGGAGGCGGGGCCCCUCCCUGCCGCCAAGUAGUACCACCUUGUCGAAAAUCCAAAGAUGUUGGAAAAUACGUGCUUCUGACCUCAGUAUGCUCCAUCACUACAGCAUGCCUAGGAUGUGAUCUCAAAGUGGUUGAACCUGGUGAGCUGGUUCAGCUUGAAAAAGUAUUAAACUCUGGGACGUCUGGAAAGCAAGAAACAAGGAUUCAGAGAGAAUUUGAAGCCACAGUUUUACACACAACCCCACCGUCACCAGAAUGUUGGUGUAUUUGAUAUGUAAUUAAAAUGAGUCUUUGGGGAAGUUCCAGU